UGAGGAAUAUUGGUCAAUGGGCGCAAGCCUGAACCAGCCAUCCCGCGUGCAGGAAGACGGCGCUAUGCGUUGUAAACUGCUUUUCCAGGGAGAGAAACUUGCGCACGUGUUGCGCAAUUGACGGUACCCUGGGAAUAAGCAUCGGCUAACUCCGUGCCAGCAGCCGCGGUAAUACGGAGGAUGCGAGCGUUAUCCGGAUUCAUUGGGUUUAAAGGGUGCGUAGGCGGACUAUUAAGUCAGUGGUGAAAUCCUGCAGCUUAACUGCAGAACUGCCAUUGAUACUGAUAGCCUUGAGUUUGGUUAAGGUAGGCGGAAUGUGUAAUGUAGCGGUGAAAUGCUUAGAUAUUACACAGAACACCAAUUGCGUAGGCAGCUUACUGAGCCGACACUGACGCUGGGGCACGAAAGCGUGGG
rnacentral:rRNA from 1 species